rnacentral:tRNA from 1 species
AGAAAAGUGCCUGACAAAAGGAUUACUUUGAUAGAGUAAAUAAUGAAUAUUAAAACAUUCCUUUUCUA